ACUCCUACGGGAGGCAGCAGUAGGGAAUUUCCGCAAUGGACGAAAGUCUGACGGAGCAAUGCCGCGUGAGUGAUGAAGGUUUUCGAAUCGUAAAGCUCUGUUGUAAGGGAAGAAUAGCAAGAAUAGGGAAAUGAUUCUAUGUCUGACGGUACCGUUACCUACGAAAGACCACGGCUAACUACGUGCCAGCAGCCGCGGUAAUACGUAGGUGGCAAGCGUUAUCCGGAAUUAUUGGGCGUAAAGCGCAUGUAGGCGGCUUUUUAAGUCUGAUGUGAAAGCCAGUGGCUCAACCACUGAAUUGCAUUGGAUACUGGAAAGCUAGAAUCUUGGAGAGGUAAGUGGAAUUUCAUGUGUAGCGGUGGAAUGCGUAGAUAUAUGAAGGAACACCAAUGGCGAAGGCAGCUUACUGGACAAGUAUUGACGCUGAGAUGCGAAAGUGUGGUAGCAAACAGGAUUAGAUACCCUGGUAGGCUCUG
rnacentral:rRNA from 1 species